CAAGCGAAAGCAUUAAGUGAACCACCUGGGGAGUACGAUCGCAAGGUUGAAACUCAAAGGAAUUGACGGGGGCCCGCACAAGCGGAGGAACAUGUGGUUUAAUUCGAUGAUACGCGAGGAACCUUACCUGGGCUUAAAUGUAGAACGACAGAUUGUGAAAGCAGUCCUUCUUCGGACGUUUUACAAGGUGCUGCAUGGUUGUCGUCAGCUCGUGCCGUGAGGUGUCGGGUUAAGUCCCAUAACGAGCGCAACCCUUAUCGUUAGUUGCCAGCGGGUCAUGCCGGGGACUCUAGCGAGACUGCCACCGUAAGGUGUGAGGAAGGUGGGGAUGACGUCAAAUCAGCACGGCCCUUAUGUNCAGGGCUACACACGUGUUACAAUGGCCGAUACAAAGGGCAGCUACCCCGUGAGGGGAUGCUAAUCUCUAAAGUCGGUCUCAGUUCGGAUCGAAGUCUGCAACCCGACUUCGUGAAGCUGGAUUCGCUAGUAAUCGCAUAUCAGCCAUGAUGCGGUGAAUACGUUCCCGG
rnacentral:rRNA from 1 species